rnacentral:rRNA from 1 species
AAUGAACGCUGGCGGCGCGCCUAAUACAUGCAAGUCGAGCGAGAAGACGUAGCAAUACGUUUGUAAAGCGGCGAACGGGGUGAGGAAUACAUGGGUAACCUACCCUAGAGUGGGGAAUAACUAGCCGAAAGGUUAGCUAAUACCGCGUACGCUCCUUGGACUUCGGUUCAGGGAGGAAAGCGAUACCGAGGGUAUCGCGCUCUUGGAUGGGCUCAUGUCCUAUCAGCUUGNGGUGAGGUAACGGCUCACCAAGGCUUCGACGGGUAGCUGGUCUGAGAGGACGAUCAGCCACACUGGCACUGCGACACGGGCCAGACCUCCUACGGGAGGCAGCAAGUAAGGAAUAUUGCGCAAGUGGGACGAAAGCC